CCCUCAGAGUGUCAUAUCAAAUGAGAGUAGUGUGUUGUUUACAAUCACAAAAUCAGACACGUUGAACAGGGAA
rnacentral:sRNA from 12 species